rnacentral:lncRNA from 1 species
CAUCCAAUUUGUUGAAGGUCCGAACAGAACAAAGAGACUGACUUCCCUCAAGCAAGAAGGAAUUCUGCAGCAGACAACCCUCAGCCUUGAGCUGCAGCCUCGGCUUUCUCCUGGGUCUCCAGCCUGACGGCCCUUCCUGCAGAGUCUGGAUUUGCCAGCUCCAUCAUCAUGAUCUUGGUGCCCAGUGAUGCGGGUGCGAUGCAACCUCUGCCACGUGUGCCUCCAUGAUCAACACACCAACAACGCAGGGGGAGAUCUGCCCGCUCAGCUCUGCCACCUCUUUUCAGUUUAUAGCAGUCCCCUGGCACAAGCGCAGCUAAAAUGUGAACCCAAUGAAAACUUACCCACCUCUGCCUUCCAC